UGAAAACUAUCAGAUUGGAGCGACUUAAAACGAACAUAAAUGGACGUGACACUUAACAUAUCAACAUAAACAAAUACUACGGUUGUUUUAAAGCAUGUUACUGUGAGGAUUAAACACGGUUCUGUGAAUAUUAAACACGGUUCUGUGAAUAUUAAACACGGUUCUGUGAAUAUUAAACACACAGACAUUAAGGUACAGGUAUUGUAGCAGAAGUACAAUAUAACAAAGAAGUGAAAUGAAUAGAUGACAUCACUGGAGAGGAUAAGAGAAGGAAGUAUCAAGGUUGAUAAAGCCAAUUACUGUAAACACGCUAGUGUUAUGAUUAAAUAAAUAGCCACUGAGGUGAAGACUUUGUGGCAGAACAAAAAUAUAACAACGACGUGUAGUUCCACGAUGACAUUAAUUGAGAGAAAAUAGUGUUUAAUGUUAUUGCAGUUUUCCAUUGUUAUUGAACAAUAGUUUGUUCAUCAUUGGAUUAAACUCAGAUUACAGUGUGAGCUAUUAUCCUACCUUUGUGUGGGUUUACUUUUUUUUGUUAGACACAGUUUUCUAUACAUGAUCGUGAUAGAGUCCCAUUGAUCGGGACUUAUCCAGAGAAAUUUUACAGGCCCUUCUGACAGUUAGGAUCAUACAUGUACCGUUACGAUCGGGAAACUCGAUUGUGUUUAGUCGAAUUACAAUCGUGACUAUAUGGUGACAGAUUCUGCUCUAUCAAAUUAGUAAAUGUCGCCAUCGGUUCAAAUUAUAGGUGUCAUGUAAAACUAUUAGUUGCGGAAAGCUAUAGAUUCAAGAUGCAAUAUUUUAUUAUAGUCUCACCACAUACAAACAUAAAAUGAGAUUCACAUAGAUUGAUAUAAAACAUUUAAUAAUUUGCAUUGUAUGCACCAGUUCUAAAAAGAUUUAUG
rnacentral:lncRNA from 1 species